ACUGGGUGUGUGUGUGUGUGUGUGUGUGCCAGUCAGGCCAUGUUGCUGCCUGAUUAAAUUGAAUUUCAUAUGCAAAAGGUGAAACUCAAUCAAGAAAACAUAAAGGGCACACACACGGCCGGCCCAACAUACUUGUACCUGUGUGUGUGUGUGUGUGUCUCGGCUUAACCAAAGCCAAUGGCAAGGAUUUUGCGGCUUUUGUGAUAUGUGAUACGUGUUUCGCCCUUCCCGAUCCCGCACAACCUUUGAGCUUGAAAAUUAAUAGCAAAAUAACGAAAAAUGUAAAAUUGUGGCAUUGGCCAUGAGAAAAUUGAAUGACUUAUCAGCUGGGCUAGUCAGGCUGCAGGACCAGUACUCAGUCGGAAGCAGAGAAUGACUCGGGGUCGGCCUCCACCUCCACCUAAACCUCCACCUCUGGCUCUGGCUCAACUCCUCCUCGACUGUUAAAGUACUUAAAAGUAAGAGGCUUUGGCUGACUGGCUCUCUGCCUGGUUUGCUGGUUUUAUGUUCAUGACCCUGGCAUAGGUGAUAAUUUCAUUU
rnacentral:lncRNA from 1 species